rnacentral:rRNA from 1 species
AUUGAACGCUGGCGGCAGGCCUAACACAUGCAAGUCGAGCGGUUGAGGUAGCUUGCUACCGAUGCAGCGGCGAACGGGUGAGUAAUACAUGGGAAUCUGCCUGGUAGUGGGGGACAACGUCUCGAAAGGGACGCUAAUACCGCAUACGCCCUACGGGGGAAAGGGGGGGAUCUUCGGACCUCUCGCUAUCAGAUGAGCCCAUGUCAGAUUAGCUAGUUGGUGGGGUAAAGGCUCACCAAGGCGACGAUCUGUAACUGGUCUGAGAGGAUGAUCAGUCACACUGGAACUGAGACACGGUCCAGACUCCUACGGGAGGCAGCAGUGGGGAAUAUUGGGACAAUGGGCGCAAGCCUGAUCCAGCCAUGCCGCGUGUGUGAAGAAGGCCUUAGGGUGUAAAGCACUUUCAGUGGGAGAAGGUUAUUCACCUAAUACGUGAGUAAUUGAUGUUACCCACAGAAGAAGCACCGGCUAACUCCGUGCCAGCAGCCGACGG